rnacentral:rRNA from 1 species
AAGUUUUAUUCUUGCUUAUCGUAGUUCAUUUUAACAUUAAUUUAUAUGUAGGUUUUUGAUUUUUUUUAUUCUGGAUGGAUUGAGAAAAAUAGCAUUUUGCAGUGGAUGAAAUUAUUGAAAUUGAAGAAAUUUUGAUUUAGUGAAUGUUAGUAUAGAUUUAGUUAAAAUUGUGCCAGCAGCUGCGGUUAGACAGUUGAUUCAAAUGAAUAUUUAUAGGUUUUUAAGUAAUUAUUGGAAUAAUAAGAUUAUAUUUAAAAUUGAUAAUUUAGAGGUGAAAUUAAUUAAUUUAAUUAUUUGAUGAGGUAAUAGUUUAAAGUAAGAUGUUGCGAAAUUGAAAGUGUAAACUAGGAUUAGAUACCCUAUUAUUUUUAAUGUAAAAUUGAUAAAAGCUUGAGUAUUAAUAGGCAAAUCUUUAAACUCAAAGAAUUUGGCGGUAUUAUAAUCUUUUUAGAGGAAUCUGUUAUAUAAUCGAUAAUCCGCGUUGAAUCUUACUUAUUUAAUUUUCUUGUAUAUCGCUGUUUAAUGAAUAUAUUUUAAGAUGGAAUUUUCUGGAUAAUAAGUUUAAACUAAUAUUUCAAGUCAAGGUGCAGUAAUAGAUAAGUUAAUUUAAUGGAUUACAAUAAAUUUUAUUUAUAAGAAAAAUGAAUUAUUAUUUGGGAUUAUAAUAUGAAGGUGAAUUUAAUUGUAAUUUUAUGAAGAUUAUUAAAAUGAAUUGUAGCUCUUUAAUAUGUACACAUCGCCCGUCACUCUCAUUAUAAGGUGAGAUAAGUCGUAACAAAGUAGGUGUAUCGGAAGGUGUACCUAGAACUAAAAAUAUAAUUUAUUAAA